rnacentral:misc_RNA from 1 species
GUUGAACGUAUCAAUCGUCGGUUGUCCGAAUGUUGCCGACGCAUUGGAUCGUCGAGGCGCGGGUGAACGAUACCUACGGGGGUUCGAGCGGUGGUCGCGGCGGUCCGAAAGGGCCGCGCGCGCGCCGUCGUCUCKAGCUGCUCGCGCCUCGUCGUCCGAAGAACAGAAGGGACCGCGCGACCACGCCGGCCGCACGUCYGAAGUCCGCAGGCGGACGGGGACGGCGACUCGGAUAGACCGAUCGGCCGUCGCCCGCCGUGGCGGAACGGUCGGCGUGGAARCGAAGGACCCAGCGCACGCGAAGCUCGAAUCGGCGGGCCGUCCGGCAACGGGCGGUCCCCGGUCGCAGACUU